GUGACAUAUCAAGGAGACUCAUAUAAGCAAGGAGAAAAAGGAAGGGCCCUCUUUCCCCUUUGCCUCCUCCAGCGACAGGAUGUGAGCCACCAGCAAGAAGGGAUGCCAAAAAGGCGUCUGAUAAGAUAAGUCUUAUAAAAUAUAUAGAUUUAUGAUAAUUAAGACUGAGCUAACAGAUGAGAAUCCUGGUCAUUGGCCAAGCAGCAUUGUACUUAAUACAAGUCUUCCUGUGUAUUCAUUUGGGCCCUAACUCAGGCGGAUGGCUGGCGUAAAGCACACAUGUGGCAGUGGGGCUCAGUGGCUUUUGGUGGAAAGAUUUAUCGUAACACAGGAGGCCACUAUAAAAGGUUGGACACUCUCUUUCAAGGCAGAAGACAAUACUGACUUAAAACUACCAAUGGGCAUCUGGGCCUGUGGAUGGAAGGAAGUCAAGCAUGGACCAGGGACCUUUUUACUAGGAAUGGCGACUUCCUAGUGUCCGGCAUUUUGAGAAAACCUGUGUUCUGUCAGCCGCUAAGAGCACAGAUCUGUGUGUUGAUCAAGACAGAAGUGAGACUGAGAAAACCCAGAACUGAGGUAAAUAGUUCCAGGAAACACCAGAAGGCCUGUCACGAUGUUCUGUGGUAUUUCAAGUGAUUUUUAAAAAGGUGAAAUUGGGGUGAAUAUGAGGGAAGGUAAUUUAAGCAACAGCUUAAUCUGAGAAACAAACAAACAAAAGUCUGAAAAGCACAAUGUGGAUUUUAUUUUCCGUGUAAUGUUAAGAUAAUUUCUCCCCUUCAAGGAAACGAGAAACUGUUGAUGAACUUGAGUUGGGGCACACUUUGAAAAAUAGCCACAUCCUUUAUCAUAACUCCCUCCAUCUUGAGUGCUUAUCCAUGAUGACCCUCUUCUGGGACAGGUGGGAAUAUUUCUUCUUGCAUCCUUGCUGCUAGGCACAACUCAGGGCCACAAUUUUGAACAAUAGAACAACAGUGAAACACGAAGAAGCCAGCUUUGUUUUCUCAAAGCGAAGCCUUUGCGGUCGUUUGCUAUUGUGACCCAUUUAUGAGACAGGUGGGAACGGGCCUCUGCCUGGCACUAGUAGUUGUUAAACACUCUUGAACCUUACUAGAUGCUACUGAGUGCCAUUAAUACUGUUACAGUAGUAGUAGCUCUGUGUUGAGCUCUUUUUUAUUGUAAAUAUCCUUUUAGUGUUUUCUAUGAAUAAAGAAAAUGUUCGCGAG
rnacentral:lncRNA from 1 species